AACGUAGGAGGCGAGCGUUAUCCGGAUUCACUGGGCGUAAAGCGCGUGUAGGUGGUUCGCCAAGUCGAAUGUGAAAGCCCCUGGCUCAACUGGGGGAGGUCAUUCGAUACUGGAGGACUUGAGGGUAGGAGAGGAGAGUGGAACUCCCGGUGUAGCGGUGGAAUGCGUAGAGAUCGGGAAGAACACCAGUGGCGAAGGCGGCUCUCUGGCCUGCUCCUGACACUGAGACGCGAAAGUGUGGGUAGCAAAC
rnacentral:rRNA from 1 species